GUGUGAGCAGGCAUCUUCUCAGCCUACAUGUGGAUUCCCAGAUCUGCAGGCUGGUUAGAUGGUUGUCAUGCAU
rnacentral:pre_miRNA from 1 species